rnacentral:rRNA from 1 species
GAUGAACGCUAGCUACAGGCUUAACACAUGCAAGUCGAGGGGAAACGACAUCGAAAGCUUGCUUUUGAUGGGCGUCGACCGGCGCACGGGUGAGUAACGCGUAUCCAACCUGCCCACCACUUGGGAAUAACCUUGCGAAAGUAAGACUAAUACCCAAUGAUAUCCCACGAAGGCAUCCGAAUGGGAUUAAAGAUUUAUCGGUGAUGGAUGGGGAUGCGUCUGAUUAGCUUGUUGGCGGGGUAACGGCCCACCAAGGCGACGAUCAGUAGGGGGUCGGGGAGGAAGGUCCCCCACAUUGGAACUGAGACACGGUCCAAACUCCUACGGGAGGCAGCAGUGAGGAAUAUUGGUCAAUGGGCGAGAGCCUGAACCAGCCAAGUAGCGUGCAGGAUGACGGCCCUAUGGGUUGUAAACUUCUUUUGUAUGGGAAGAAAAUUCCGAACGUGUUCGGAGCUGACGGUACCAUAAGAAUAAGCAUCGGCUAACUCCGUGCCAGCAGCCGCCGUAA